rnacentral:rRNA from 1 species
UACGAAGGGGGCUAGCGUUGUUCGGAAUCACUGGGCGUAAAGGGCGCGUAGGCGGCCGAUCAAGUCGGGGGUGAAAGCCUGUGGCUCAACCACAGAAUUGCCUUCGAUACUGUUUGGCUUGAGACCGGAAGAGGUUAGUGGAACUGCGAGUGUAGAGGUGAAAUUCGUAGAUAUUCGCAAGAACACCAGUGGCGAAGGCGGCUGACUGGUCCGGUUCUGACGCUGAGGCGCGAAAGCGUGGGGAGCAAAUAGG